rnacentral:piRNA from 1 species
UCCAAAAUGGUGACUUCUCAGUUGAUGG